rnacentral:rRNA from 1 species
AGAGUUUGAUCCUGGCUCAGGAUGAACGCUGGCGGCGUGCCUAAUACAUGCAAGUCGAGCGAACGGACGAGAAGCUUGCUUCUCUGAUGUUAGCGGCGGACGGGUGAGUAACACGUGGAUAACCUACCUAUAAGACUGGGAUAACUUCGGGAAACCGGAGCUAAUACCGGAUAAUAUUUUGAACCGCAUGGUUCAAAAGUGAAAGACGGUCUUGCUGUCACUUAUAGAUGGAUCCGCGCUGCAUUAGCUAGUUGGUAAGGUAACGGCUUACCAAGGCAACGAUGCAUAGCCGACCUGAGAGGGUGAUCGGCCACACUGGAACUGAGACACGGUCCAGACUCCUACGGGAGGCAGCAGUAGGGAAUCUUCCGCAAUGGGCGAAAGCCUGACGGAGCAACGCCGCGUGAGUGAUGAAGGUCUUCGGAUCGUAAAACUCUGUUAUUAGGGAAGAACAUAUGUGUAAGUAACUGUGCACAUCUUGACGGUACCUAAUCAGAAAGCCACGGCUAACUACGUGCCAGCAGCCGCGGUAAUACGUAGGUGGCAAGCGUUAUCCGGAAUUAUUGGGCGUAAAGCGCGCGUAGGCGGUUUUUUAAGUCUGAUGUGAAAGCCCACGGCUCAACCGUGGAGGGUCAUUGGAAACUGGAAAACUUGAGUGCAGAAGAGGAAAGUGGAAUUCCAUGUGUAGCGGUGAAAUGCGCAGAGAUAUGGAGGAACACCAGUGGCGAAGGCGACUUUCUGGUCUGUAACUGACGCUGAUGUGCGAAAGCGUGGGGAUCAAACAGGAUUAGAUACCCUGGUAGUCCACGCCGUAAACGAUGAGUGCUAAGUGUUAGGGGGUUUCCGCCCCUUAGUGCUGCAGCUAACGCAUUAAGCACUCCGCCUGGGGAGUACGACCGCAAGGUUGAAACUCAAAGGAAUUGACGGGGACCCGCACAAGCGGUGGAGCAUGUGGUUUAAUUCGAAGCAACGCGAAGAACCUUACCAAAUCUUGACAUCCUUUGACAACUCUAGAGAUAGAGCCUUCCUCUUCGGGGGACAAAGUGACAGGUGGUGCAUGGUUGUCGUCAGCUCGUGUCGUGAGAUGUUGGGUUAAGUCCCGCAACGAGCGCAACCCUUAAGCUUAGUUGCCAUCAUUAAGUUGGGCACUCUAAGUUGACUGCCGGUGACAAACCGGAGGAAGGUGGGGAUGACGUCAAAUCAUCAUGCCCCUUAUGAUUUGGGCUACACACGUGCUACAAUGGACAAUACAAAGGGCAGCGAAACCGCGAGGUCAAGCAAAUCCCAUAAAGUUGUUCUCAGUUCGGAUUGUAGUCUGCAACUCGACUACAUGAAGCUGGAAUCGCUAGUAAUCGUAGAUCAGCAUGCUACGGUGAAUACGUUCCCGGGUCUUGUACACACCGCCCGUCACACCACGAGAGUUUGUAACACCCGAAGCCGGUGGAGUAACCUUUUAGGAGCUAGCCGUCGAAGG